rnacentral:misc_RNA from 1 species
AGGUGAACCUGCGGAAGGAUCAUUAAUGAAUUUUGGAGUUCUACUGUGCCUGCCGUUCAUUUGGAUGUGUGCACGUAGUCUCUAUAAAUCCUUAUCAACACCUGUGCACCUUUAAAAAGGGGAAACUGAUUAAGCUUUUUACGGGCUUAUGAGGAAUAACCUUUUUUCUUAUACAAACUCUUAAUGUCUAUUAGAAUGUUCUCUGGCCGCAAGGCUAUAAAAUAUAAACAACUUUUAACAACGGAUCUCUUGGCUCUCG